ensembl:lncRNA
CACUAUUAUUAACACAUUUGUUCGUAAGUCUCCAAACAACCUGGUGAGGCCAGAAGGGCUGGGAUAUUCUCUUGAGACAGAGGAAGGCACUAGCUUAAGGUAACCCUGUAAAUAGUGGCAGCCUAGAAUCAUGGUCUCAAGUCCACAGCCCAGGGCCGGUGCUCUGGUCGUAUUCACACAUUUGAGCUCACACAUGCACAUGGUGCUACAUUUUAUGAAGCAGCUCCGUCUGAAUACAUGGCUACCUGGUGCAUUAGCAACCUGGGGUGAGUCAGCAGCUGCCUGUGAGGCCAUCAGGGAGGGAACACCAUGUACCAGAACUCGCAGAAAGGAGUGCUUGUGCAGCUACCAUGUGAUCUGGGGUACAGGAAAGUCGGGGGGAUGGUGCUUGAAAAGCAGGAUGGGAGGGAGGAGGGGACGGGUAGAGCUAUCCUAACUUAGGGCCUCCUCUGGUGCCCCUAAUGGGCCCACACUUAUCUAGGGAGGUUUUGGUUCCUGCAGUGUUGGCAAAGUGGCUUAAUUUGACUUAAUGGAAGAAAAAUGUGUAAUGAAUAUGGAUAAUGCAUACAAUGAGGCCCCAAGGAAGGCUGGCUGGAAGAAGGGUGAUGAGCUGAUGAUAAGUCUGAAUGAUAAUCAGGCUGUAGCUCCAAGGGUGAGCCCAGGUAGAAAACAUCGGGGACAACUGCUCCUCCCUAGGGGACUGGGAUCCUCCUGCUGACCUCCGUCCCCACCCUGCCCUGGCCUUCAGAGCUUGACCUCCCACUUGGAUAGAGUCAGAGAAUGUCAGAGUCACAGGAUUCUGGCUUCACAGGAUUAGACUCAGGCUCAGGAUUCCAGAAUCACAGACCUUUAGCAUCACAUAUGUUAACAAUAGAAAAUUUCAGAAUUGAACAAUCUGACAAUGGAGUCCCUUGGGAAGAAAUUUAGGUGAUCUUUCCCCAACUUUCAUUUAAUAACAAUAAAUAACAUCUGUUAAGCACAUCACAACUUCCAAAGUCUUUCGCAUCUGUACAGACAUCACAUAGGGGUGGGUGGUAUUAUACCUUCAGCUUAAGUAUUGUGCAGAAGAUCAAAAUGGGCUGGCUGGCAGAUCGCUUGAGCCUGGGAGUUCAAGACCAGCCUGGGCAACUUGGCAAAACCUCAUCUCUACUAAAAAUACAAAUAUUAGCUAGGCAUGCGGGUGUGCGUCUGUAGUCCCAGCUACUCGGGAGGCUGAGGCAGGAGGAUCACUUAUGCCGGGGAGGUCGAGACUGCAGUGAGCCGUGAUUGCACCACAGAACUCCAGACUGGGCACAGAGCAAGAUCCUGUCUUAGAAUAAAAAUAGCCCAGGUGUGGUGGCUCACACCUGUAAUCCCAGCAUUUUGGGAGGCUGAGGCGGGUGGAUCACGAGGUCAGGAGAUCGAGACCAUCCUGGCUAACACAGUGAAACACCGUCUCUACUAAAAAUACAAAAAAUUAGCUGGGCAUGGUGGCGGGCGCCUGUAGUCCCAGCUACUCGAGAGGCUGAGGCAGGAGAAUGGCGUGAGCCUGGGAGGCGGAGCUUGCAGUGAGCCAAGAUCAUGCCACUGCACUCCACCCUGGGAGACACAGUGAGACUCUGUCUCAAAAAAAAAAAAAAAA